UGCAAGUCGAGCGGUAGCACAGGGAGCUUGCUCCUGGGUGACGAGCGGCGGACGGGUGAGUAAUGUCUGGGAAACUGCCUGAUGGAGGGGGAUAACUACUGGAAACGGUAGCUAAUACCGCAUAACGUCUUCGGACCAAAGAGGGGGACCUUCGGGCCUCUUGCCAUCAGAUGUGCCCAGAUGGGAUUAGCUAGUAGGUGAGGUAAUGGCUCACCUAGGCGACGAUCCCUAGCUGGUCUGAGAGGAUGACCAGCCACACUGGAACUGAGACACGGUCCAGACUCCUACGGGAGGCAGCAGUGGGGAAUAUUGCACAAUGGGCGCAAGCCUGAUGCAGCCAUGCCGCGUGUAUGAAGAAGGCCUUCGGGUUGUAAAGUACUUUCAGCGAGGAGGAAGGCAUUGUGGUUAAUAACCGCAGUGAUUGACGUUACUCGCAGAAGAAGCACCGGCUAACUCCGUGCCAGCCGCGG
rnacentral:rRNA from 1 species